rnacentral:rRNA from 1 species
GACGAACCGUGCGAACGUUGUUCGGAAUCACUGGGCUUAAAGAGCGUGUAGGCGGCUUUGCAAGUCCGUUGUGAAAACUCGAGGCUCAACCUCGAGACGCCGGUGGAAACUGCAAAGCUAGAGUCCGGAAGAGGAGAGUGGAAUUCCUGGUGUAGCGGUGAAAUGCGCAGAUAUCAGGAAGAACACCCGUGGCGAAGGCGGCUCUCUGGGACGGUACUGACGCUGAGACGCGAAAGCGUGGGGAGCGAACAGG